AAUAGUGAAAAGAAAUCCAGUGCUCUUGAUAAGACCUAUAUCUGUCCCAGCUGCAAGGUUACUCUUACAAAUACACUCUCACUGGUUGCACUCAGUUCAUGUGGGCAUGUCUUCUGCAAGAAGUGCGCAGACAAAUUUAUGGCUGUGGAUAAAGUUUGUCUUGUUUGCAACAAGGUGUGUAAGGCAAGGAAUUUGGUGAACUUGGAAAAGGGUG
rnacentral:misc_RNA from 1 species